ACCACAGUGAGGGCUUUUCUAUGUCUUCAGUCACACUACUAAUAGGAAAGCAAAAAAAACCUGAAUUUAAUAGCAGGUCAUUUGCAAGGAGAAUUAAAGAAAUCCAUCUGCUGAAUUGUAGCAGAAACUCGCCAUAGGCCUUUAACUCUUUGUUUAGAUUUUUUUUUUUUUUUUUGCAUGACUGAUCCCUGUUUAUUAAGGGAGAGGGAUUAGGACUCAACAGGAGAAAUCAUAGCCGCAGUGAUGAUCAUGACAUAUGCGCAUUUUCUUCAUUGUUCCUCCCCCACCCCAUAAUAAACAGCACAAUUCCUUGCUUUGUUUCGUGUUUCAUCUUUAUCCAAGUCAUUUAUGUUUCGGUCUGCUCUUGGGUUUCCCUACAACCCCCACCGUGACACGUCUAAGUAAUCAAACAAAUUAUGCACCCCGACGACAAAAUUAGCCUGCCUCCCCGACAGAACGGAGAAAGGACGCGGCACGGGCGCGCGCGCAGGAGAUUUGCCACAUUGUUACGGCUUGUUUUCAGGACCAUCUGUAUCCAUCGCGCAGUGCAUUAAAUGAACUAAUGAGAUGUGAAACUGGCUGUUAAAGUCCUUGAUUGCGAAGUGUGGGCCCGAUCUCAUAACAGAGCAGCGUGAAACAUAAAACAGGCAGCUAUUUUCUGGCCAAGUGCAAAUCAAACAUCAGUUAACAAGAAGGUGGGAGAGCCUCGCAUUCGUCUCGCUGGAGUCUGGGCUCGGCGGCGCAUAGCUGAUGAGUUUCCUGCUUUAGUGCUUCCAACCAGUCAGCCAGCCGCUCCCUGGCAAAGCAGCCCGUGGAUGACUCAUCGCGUGGAGCAUGUGAUCCUUUUCUUAAUGCACGCUCACACUCAUACGGCUCCGUUUAUCUGCCAGGGGGAUUUCCUCCCCAACACUGCACGCCACUGCCGUAGAGACAUCCCUGGAAGAAAACAGCUGAGUGGACGUGUGAAGGAGAGAGUGCUGAUUUUCCUACAGGCCACGGUUUGACGAGGGAUGAGUCAUCCGGAUGGAGACCCCGAGGAGGAGAGGCAGCUCCGGUCACCCUACUUGGAGAUGGCAAAAAGAGGAAGUUAUCAAAGGGCUGCAACCAGAUUCUUGAAGAGGCUGCUGGUUAGAAACCCAUCGACUGUCUGCAAAAGCCUUGGUGGAAGACUUGGUGGCGGCUGCCAAUGAGGUUUCAGUUUCCACAGUAUAAGGUAAAUAUUAAAACGCUGAAUGACUCCAUGUGUGAACUCCAGGAAGACACCGCUACUGACCUAGAAAAAGUCACCCCCCAGUUUGCUCACAGCUACACGAUGAAGGAAGCCAACGAUGACUCAAAGCGGGAACUUUUCACCCCCUUCGACCAGUGGUUUAUCUGUGGGAAGAACUUCUGUC